rnacentral:rRNA from 1 species
UACGUAGGGUGCAAGCGUUUGUCCGGAAUUAUUGGGCGUAAAGAGCUCGUAGGCGGUCUGUCGCGUCUGCUGUGAAAACCUAGGGCUUAACUCUGGGCGUGCAGUGGGUACGGGCAGGCUAGAGUGCGGUAGGGGAGAUCGGAAUUCCUGGUGUAGCGGUGAAAUGCGCAGAUAUCAGGAGGAACACCGGUGGCGAAGGCGGAUCUCUGGGCCGAUACUGACGCUGAGGAGCGAAAGCGUGGGGAGCGAACAGG